GUUCAGGUGCACAUUAAGAAUCUGAUUUCUAAUUCCCAGAGAGAAGUCCUGAGCAAAAAAGACUCAGAAGAUGAGCAGAUCUUGAAUGAAAUGGGAUUUAAGACUCCUAGGAACAAAGGAAAUGGAGCUUCCUGUCAGCAGGAAGAAGGGGAGGCUGAUGGUGGCAGGGUGGCUGUGCUUGAUACAAGCCUACAGCAAGGGCUCAGCAGCAAUGACCCACACGAGCCGCUGGCCCAGCCCAGGACGGUCCCUGCCACCGAAGUCAGAUCUGAAGAAUUUGCUGUUUCCCAUCUGCAGCCUUCAUCUUCCCGUAAGGAAGUUCAUGUUUUCUCCAGGUAUUUGCUGCUGGGAGCUGUGCCUAGUAAGGCAUUACAUCCUCAGGGUGCACCAAAGGGCCGGGACAGAGACACCAUGUGCUGGUUGCAGAGCAUCAUCAAGCUGUCAGCCCUCCGACCACCACAUCAGGCAGCACCAAAAGGUCUUCCUCUAAAUUGCCUCUGUUGCAUGUGUGGCUGUGAUUUUGUAUGGCUGUAUCUUACUGAUCAAAGAACUUCCAUUUCUUGA
rnacentral:lncRNA from 1 species